rnacentral:snoRNA from 1 species
UUGUAAUGAUGUUUCAAAUGUCUGACCUGAAGUAAAUGUGUGGAGAGUGUUAUCACUGAACUG